rnacentral:rRNA from 1 species
UGCAACUCGCCUACAUGAAGUCGGAAUUGCUAGUAAUGGCAGGUCAGCAUACUGCCGUGAAUACGUUCCCGGGCCUUGUACACACCGCCCGUCACACCAUGAGAGUUGGGAAUACCCGAAGCCUGUGAGCUAACGAAAGAGGCAGCAGUCGAAGGUAGAAUCAAUGAUUGGGGUGAAGUCGUAACAAGGUACC